UACGUAGGGUGCGAGCGUUGUCCGGAUUUAUUGGGCGUAAAGAGCUUGUAGGCGGCUCGUCGCGUCGGGUGUGAAAACUUGCGGCUUAACCGCAAGCCUGCACCCGAUACGGGCGGGCUAGAGUUCGGCAGGGGAGACUGGAAUUCCUGGUGUAGCGGUGGAAUGCGCAGAUAUCAGGAGGAACACCGAUGGCGAAGGCAGGUCUCUGGGCCACUACUGACGCUGAGAAGCGAAAGCAUGGGGAGCGAACAGG
rnacentral:rRNA from 1 species